rnacentral:rRNA from 1 species
UGGGGAAUCUUGCGCAAUGGGCGAAAGCCUGACGCAGCCAUGCCGCGUGAGUGAUGAAGGCCUUAGGGUUGUAAAACUCUUUCACCGGGGACGAUAAUGACGGUACCCGGAGAAGAAGCCCCGGCUAACUUCGUGCCAGCAGCCGCGGUAAUACGAAGGGGGCUAGCGUUGCUCGGAAUUACUGGGCGUAAAGGGCGCGUAGGCGGAUCAGCAAGUUGGGGGUGAAAGCCCGGGGCUCAACCUCGGAAUUGCCUUCAAAACUGCUGAUCUAGAGUACGGGAGAGGUGUGUGGAACUCCGAGUGUAGAGGUGAAAAUUCGUAGAUAUUCGGAAGAACACCAGUGGCGAAGGCGACACACUGGCCCGUUACUGACGCUGAGGCGCGAAAGCGUGGGGAGCAAACAGGAUUAGAUACCCUGGUAGUCCACGCUGUAAACGAUGAUUGCUAGUUGUCGGCAGGCAUGCCUGUCGGUGACGCAGCUAACGCAUUAAGCAAUCCGCCU